rnacentral:rRNA from 1 species
UACGUAGGCGGCAAGCGUUGUCCGGAAUUACUGGGUGUAAAGGGCGUGUAGGCGGGACUGCAAGUCAGAUGUGAAAUUCCCAGGCUCAACCCGGGGGCUGCAUCUGAAACUGUGGUUCUUGAGUGCUGGAGAGGAAAGCGGAAUUCCUAGUGUAGCGGUGAAAUGCGUAGAUAUUAGGAGGAACACCAGUGGCGAAGGCGGCUUUCGGGACAGUAACUGACGAUGAGGCGCGAAAGCGUGGGUAGCAAACAGG